UAAUAAGUGUUUUAUGGCACUUUUUAAAUCCAUAUCCACCUUGUGUGCAAUGUCAGUCGAUCUUCUUCAUGGAGAUCGACCAAACAUCAACCUUUAUUUUUUAACCCUUUGUCUGAAAAAUAUUAUGAAUAAACAAUUCAAAAUA
rnacentral:misc_RNA from 1 species